GAAGAGAGAGUUCAAGAGUACGUGAAACUGCUCAGAGGUAAACGGGUGGGCCCUCGAAAUCCUGUGGCGGGAGGAUUCAGUCGGGAGGCGUGGACUCGGAGACGGAAUAUCACAAUGGAUCCCUUGAACAGGGCCGUUCCGACUCCGGGCUUCCGCUCCGCCCGACGCAUUUGUUUCCCGUCCGAAGGACGCCGCAACCGGUUGGGAGACGGCCUUAAGGGCGAGAGCUGGCAGGUGGCCGGUGGCGUUCUCUCCAGUUCGUCGCCGGUUGUUAGCCGUCUCGUCGCACGGCACGUAGCCCGACCGUGGUGCACAGUGGCCCCUCAUGGGCCUCUCCGUCUCCUCCUUCUUCGCGGAAGGUAGCGGGUUAGAACCCGGCAGGAGUUCGACCCCCUGCGGGCGCACGGACUGACUCCGUGGCCCAGCGUCGCGGUCGUCUUCGUUGGCCGGGAAGGGCCCGUAGGAGUGUUGGCGGUUGGCGGCGAGUAGAUCGGUCACCCACCCGACCCGUCUUGAAACACGGACCAAGGAGUCUAACAUGUGUGCGAGUCAAUGGGUCUCGAUUAAGCCCAGAGGCGCAAUGAAAGCAAAGGCCGGAGUGACUCCGUGCUGUGUUGGGAUCCCUUCCCUUACAAUCGGGAGGGGCGCACCAACGACCCGUCCUGUUCCAUUCUUGGAUUGGGCGGAGUCUGAGCAUACACGUUGGGACCCGAAAGAUGGUGAACUAUGCCCGGGCAGGACGAGGCCAGAGGAAACUCUGGUGGAGGU
rnacentral:rRNA from 1 species